AGUUACCUAUGGGGAUUGGGACGUGCCAGCAGGUGGCCUGUGUACUGUAGUUGCCAGGUGUCUGUAUGCUUCCUUUUCCUCUCACUGGGAAGGGGUCACCGAGGACUGAGAUGGUUCAUAAUGUGGAAGCUCACUGCUUCCCUUGGCUUCUUCGCCACCCCUCCCCCUCUCUAGGCCUGCUUCCAGUCUGUAGUUCACCUGCUUCCAAAACCAGGACCUUCAUCACGAACACAGAUCCAAGCUGAGACACUCAAAAGUCACACCUGAGACCCCAAGACAGGUGGAAGGACGUUGGACCCCAGGACCUAGGACUGUGCAAUCAAUGCUCCAACCCCACAGCAGACCCUCACUCCCAGUCCUUCGGCUCCCAGCACCCAUUUUCU
rnacentral:lncRNA from 1 species